rnacentral:rRNA from 1 species
UACGGAGGGGGCGAGCGUUAUUCCGGAAUUAUUGGGGCGUAAAAGGGCUCGUAGGCGGUUUUGUCACGUCAGGAGUGAAAACUCGGGGCUCAACCCCGAGCCUGCUCUGAUACGGGCAGACUGGAGGUAUGCAGGGGAGAACGGAAUUCCUGGUGUAGCGGUGAAAUGCGCAGAUAUCAGGAGGAACACCGGUGGCGAAGGCGGUUCUCUGGGCAUGUCCUGACGCUGAGGAGCGAAAGUGUGGGGAGGCGAACAGG